UAUACCGAAUAAGGUAACCUAACCUUCUAUGCUUGGUCAAACGAUGUACAUGUUUUACGAGUGUUUCGUUUAUUAUUUCACCAACGGGCCUAAUAUUUUUACUGAUUUUUUUUUUUCCGUAGUUUAAUUUUCGGUGUUAUUAGAAUCCUCUCGUUAAUGUCGCCGCGUCAAGUUUAGGUUGAAUAAAGUGUUUUAUACGGUCGUGGUCGUAUUCGAGUUCUGACGAUUGAAUGUAAAAGUGGCAUUGAGUGUACUUGACCCGGGAAGAAAAUAAACUUUUCAUUAUAAUUUGAUUAAAAAAGGGCAUCGAUAUUGAACGAGUUCUUCUUACGGUGCACAAUCAUGUUUGAACAAUGUUUAUAUUUCUAUGCGAGCCUAUCUCGAAUAGGUACAUUGUUUACGAAAGACGAAAACCCGUGGCCUCUUGGUCAACACUAAAACAACGCUUCAACGAGAAUUUUUUCUCACUAUAGCCAGUCCUCAGCCUGUAAAUGGAAAGGAAAAUGUUGAUGAUCGGAAGCCGAUACGGCCAUACUUCAAGUGAAAAGAGGGAGCCGGAGCGGACAGACGUAGCGGAUACACAUCUGUAUGUUAAAAUAAUCAAGAAUAAAUCAAUCGCGGUUACAGAGAAAUCAAGACGAGCGGCCAUAAACGAUAAAGAUAAUUCGUUUAUUACCUACCUAUGGGAUGAUCCGAAAUCCAUUGAAUCCGAACCUAAGUCCUUGUCCGUAUGACUGCAAACGAUUGACGGAAAUCCUUGUCUCGCAUCGAUUU